rnacentral:rRNA from 1 species
UACGUAGGGGCCUAGCGUUGUCCGGAAUUAUUGGGCGUAAAGAGCUCGUAGGCGGUUCGGCAAGUCGGAUGUGAAAUCUCCACGCUUAACGUGGAGGGGCCAUUCGAAACUGCUGUGACUCGAGUCCGGUAGGGGAGUGUGGAAUUCCCGGUGUAGCGGUGAAAUGCGUAGAUAUCUGCAGGAACACCCGUGGCGAAAGCGGCGCGCUGGACCACUACUGACGCUGAGGAACGAAAGCUAGGGGAGCAAACAGG